GACGAACGCUGGCGGCGUGCUUAACACAUGCAAGUCGAACGGAAAGGCCUGCUUUCCCUUGUGGAUUGCGGGCACUCGAGUGGCGAACGGGUGAGUAACACGUGAGUGAUCUGCCCCCAACUUGGGUAUAAGCCUGGGAAACUGGGUCUAAUUCCCGAUAGGACUGCAGGGUGGUGCCUGUGGUGGAAAACGAUUUUCUAGUGGUUGGGGAUGAGCUCGCGGCCUAUCAGCUUGUUGGUGGGGUAAUGGCCUACCAAGGCGGCGACGGGUAGCCGGCCUGAGAGGGUGGACGGCCACAUUGGGACUGAGAUACGGCCCAGACUCCUACGGGAGGCAGCAGUGGGGAAUAUUGCACAAUGGGCGGAAGCCUGAUGCAGCGACGCCGCGUGGGGGAUGACGGCCUUCGGGUUGUAAACUCCUUUCGACCGCGAGGAAGCCACCUGGUUGGAAGGGUGGUGACGGUAGUGGUAGAAGAAGCACCGGCUAACUACGU
rnacentral:rRNA from 1 species